rnacentral:rRNA from 1 species
GAUGAACGCUGGCGGGAGGCUUAACACAUGCAAGUCGAGGGGCAGCAUAGGGUAGCAAUACUCUGAUGGCGACCGGCAAACGGGUGAGUAACGCGUAUGCAACCUACCCUGUACAGGGGGAUAACCCGGAGAAAUUCGGACUAAUAUCCCGUAAUAAUAUCCGGAGGCAUCUUUGGAUAUUUAAAGUUCCGACGGUACGGGAUGGGCAUGCGUAACAUUAACUGGUUGGUAAGGUAACGGCUUACCAAGGCUAUGAUGUUUAGGGGUCCUGAGAGGGUGGUCCCCCACACUGGUACUGAGACACGGACCAGACUCCUACGGGAGGCAGCAGUGAGGAAUAUUGGUCAAUGGGCGCAAGCCUGAACCAGCCAUCCCGCGUGCAGGAAGACGGCCCUAUGGGUUGUAAACUGCUUUUCCAGGGAGAGAAACUUACGCACGUGUUGCGUGACUGACGGUACCCUGGGAAUAAGCAUCGGCUAACUCCGUG